UUAAUGAGAGUUUGAUCCUGGCUCAGGACGAACGCUGGCGGCGUGCCUAAUACAUGCAAGUAGAACGCUGAGGUUUGGUGUUUACACUAGACUGAUGAGUUGCGAACGGGUGAGUAACGCGUAGGUAACCUGCCUCAUAGCGGGGGAUAACUAUUGGAAACGAUAGCUAAUACCGCAUAAGAGUAAUUAACACAUGUUAGUUAUUUAAAAGGAGCAAUUGCUUCACUGUGAGAUGGACCUGCGUUGUAUUAGCUAGUUGGUGAGGUAAAGGCUCACCAAGGCGACGAUACAUAGCCGACCUGAGAGGGUGAUCGGCCACACUGGGACUGAGACACGGCCCAGACUCCUACGGGAGGCAGCAGUAGGGAAUCUUCGGCAAUGGACGGAAGUCUGACCGAGCAACGCCGCGUGAGUGAAGAAGGUUUUCGGAUCGUAAAGCUCUGUUGUUAGAGAAGAACGUUGGUAGGAGUGGAAAAUCUACCAAGUGACGGUAACUAACCAGAAAGGGACGGCUAACUACGUGCCAGCAGCCGCGGUAAUACGUAGGUCCCGAGCGUUGUCCGGAUUUAUUGGGCGUAAAGCGAGCGCAGGCGGUUCUUUAAGUCUGAAGUUAAAGGCAGUGGCUUAACCAUUGUACGCUUUGGAAACUGGG
rnacentral:rRNA from 1 species